CCCUCAAACCCUAUCACCGCAGCUACCCCCUUUCUCCGUCCUAUCUCCGACCACCACCACACCAAAUGAAAAAAUCAAAACAAUAUUUUUACUUCUCAUUCCAUGGCCUUCCUAAUGAACUAACUAGAUUUCUGUUUUGAAGAACAUCGUCGUAGGUCACACUAUCUCAUCUCCGGCCUUGCAAUUUCAAAUGAAUAAAAAAGACCAUUUUUAGCCUCUUUGCGCGUAAGAUCUUCGAAGAACCAAACUGAGCAGGAUCCGAGUUCCUUUUCCUUAUUUUCUCCCACCUUCGCCACUGACCACUACAUCAGAUUUUCUCAGAUAUGGAGAUAUGUCAGCUCACAAUUUGCUAUAGAGGGAAUGUGAGAAAUCAUCAGACAAUGUUGUUGCACCUUUGGCAGUGAUCCCACUAGUCCAGGUAAAACAAAUUAAAACUGAUUGAGUUUACACCACCAAGUCAGAAAUAUCAAUUCGGUCUACGCCACCACUAUUUUUAACUCAGUAAAUUUCAAAGAAGAAAAGAAGACUUCAAAAAGGAUCAAAAUCUAUUUUGA